UACAGAGGUCCCAAGCGUUGUUCGGAUUCAUUGGGCGUAAAGGGUGCGUAGGUGGCGCUGUAAGUGGGGUGUGAAAUUUCGGAGCUUAACUCCGAAACUGCAUUCCAUACUGCGGUGCUUGAGGACUGGAGAGGAGACUGGAAUUUACGGUGUAGCGGUGAAAUGCGUAGAUAUCGUGAGGAAGACCAGUGGCGAAGGCGGGUCUCUGGACAGUUCCUGACGCUGAGGCGCGAAGGCCAGGGGAGCAAACGGG
rnacentral:rRNA from 1 species